GUUAUAUUUAUUGUCAACAUUAGUUAGACAAGCGUUAGCAUAAGCAUAAGGUUGUUGUUUUUUUUAACUCACCCGUUUUUUCCCGAAUCCGGUUGAUGUUUCUCCUCUCUUGCUGUCACGUCCACUGACAAGAAUUUGGGGAGAAUCACUCAGGAUUCUACAGUUUGACUUGAGAGAAAAAAGCAGCCAGAGGGAGACUGAAAACAGGUCGGGACUGAGGGGUGAAGCCCUCCAUUCCUGACGGCCCUGAGAACGAGCCCUUCUUUUGGGAAUGAAAUGGAGCCUUGGACCUGCGGAAGCCAGGGAGCGAGAGGAGGCUGGAAGAAG